CAAUAGCGUAUAUUUUAGUUGUUGCAGUUAAAAAGCUCGUAGUUGAAUUUCUGGUGAGCGAGAGCGGUCCGAUCAAUGAUUGGUGCUUGCUUUCGCUGGCCAUCCUUGGGUUUAGCCAGUCUGGCAUUAAGUUGUCGGGCUGGGGAUGCCCAUCGUUUACUGUGAAAAAAUUAGAGUGUUCAAAGCAGACUUAUGUCGUUGAAUAUAUUAGCAUGGAAUAAUAAGAUAGGACUACAGUGCUAUUUUGUUGGUUUGCGCACCGUGGUAAUGAUGAAUAGGGACAGUUGUGGGUAUUCGUAUUCACUUGUAAGAGGUGAAAUUCUUAGAUUAAGGGAAGACGAACUACUGCGAAAGCAUUUACCAAGGAUGUUUNCAUUA
rnacentral:rRNA from 1 species